rnacentral:hammerhead_ribozyme from 1 species
AUCCAACUGAUGAGUUCCAACCAGAACGAAAUGCGAGUCCUGGAU